GCCCUCAUGGUCUAGCGGUAUGACGUGUCCUUCACACGGACAAGGUCCCGGGUUCGAGCCCCGGUGGAGGUA